GAUGAACGCUGGCGGCGUGCCUAAUACAUGCAAGUCGAGCGAACGGACGCGGAGCUUGCUUUUCUGAUGUUAGCGGCGGACGGGUGAGUAACACGUGGAUACCCUACCUAUCAGACUGGGAUAACUUCGGGAAACCGGCGAUAAUACCGGAUAAUAUUUUGCUCCGCGUGGUUCAAAAGUGAAAGACGGUGUUGCUGUAACUUAUAGCUGGAUACGCGCUGCAUUAGCUAGUUGGUAAGGACAAGGCUUACCAAGGCAACCAUGCAUAGCCGACCUGAUGGAGGGAUAGGCCACACUGGAGGUUGGACGUGGUCCAGACUCCUACGGUAGGCAGCAGUAGGGAAUGUGCCGCAAUAGGCGAAAGCCUGACGGAGCAGCGCCGCGUGAGUGAUGAAGGUCUUCGGUUCGUAAAACUGUGUUAUUAGUUAAGAACAUAUUUGGAAGGAACUGUGCACAUCUUGACGGUACCUAAUCAGAAAGCCACGGCUAACUACGUG
rnacentral:rRNA from 1 species